rnacentral:lncRNA from 1 species
ACACAACGCGGCUCCUCCUAGCCCCGGCGCGGCAGCCUGGAGGGGAUGUCUUUUUUGCAAAGCGAGUUCUCCAACUUUCCCGGGCCUUGGCGGAGCUCCGGGACCGCGCAGGGGUCCCUUUUAUAAGCAAAGGAGAAACAAACAGAUGCCCUCUGACAUCGCUGGAGCUCUGCAGGCCCUCCGAGGGGACCGUGGGAGCAAGAGCUGUUUUCUUGAAAAGCUACCUAGAAUAAAUGUUACCCUGUCACAGUCUCUUAGCAGAAGAGUGGGCUUGUUUUAUUAAUGUUAGCUUGUUGACAGCAGGAGGCCACUGAGAACAGCAGUGUGAUGUGUGGCUGCCCCCGCUCUCUCCACCUCCCUACUCCCUUGCAGAGACCCCCUGUGCUUCUCAUUGCUACCCCAUGUGUGAGAAGAGAUGGUUGAAUAGGUAAGUAGGUCAGGAACAUGGGUCUCCAGGAUGUCACAGGAUGUGCACAACUUAAACAUUAAACAGGGAGGACAGAAGGAAAACCACUUAGGAGGAGGAAGCAGAUGGCAGAGAGCCGUUUAAGAUGGCAGGAGGGUAUCACUCAGGGAGUGCCCCAGAGUGCUUGCUCUGGAGUUUCAGAACCCAAGGAUGCAGACUCUACCCCAGGGACCACAUGGGGACAGAGAGGCAUUAUGGUAAAGGGUGCCUGCCAGGAUGCCCAGGUCCCAGUCUGCUACUUCCUUGACUGGUGGCCUUGGGCUGGUUAUGUAUCCUCUUUGUGGCUUAGUUUCGCCAUCUCUGGAAUGGGGAUACUCACUGGACCUACUGCAGCGUGGUUGUGAGAAUUCCAGGGGAAUGCAUAGGCAGCUCUUAGCACAGUGCCUGGCACAAAGUGAGAGCUCCGUAAGUGCCGGCCCCUCAUUCAUGCGCUGAAUAUGUGUUGAGCUCUUACUACGUGCCAGGCACUAUGGUUAAUGCUGGGGAGACAGUAAAGCCUAGACAAAUCCCUGCUGACAUUCUGACCUGAUAGCAGCAUCAUAGCAGUGAACACUGGAAGCCACACCAAACUCCAGCCCAGCCAGCUGGAUGUAGAUGGCUCCAGGGACAAUGCCAGCCCGGCGUUCCCGCCUCCGGAUCACUGUCACCACCCCUAGAGCACUAUGGCCUAUAACAGACUUUUUGUUGAAACCCCCUAAAAAAUGUUUAACAAUAUGUUUGCCUUACACAUUUUCAAGUUGGCAUCUAAAAUGAGUUUUUUAAUCAUAUAUUUAAAUAGGGUAUAUUGUAUUUAUUGACCUUUAUGUAUAAAAUUAUUAUCUCUCUCUUUUAAAUAUACCCAAAGGAAUUUGUAUAAGAAUACAAAACUGCCAUGUUAUACUUAAGAAUAUAAACAAGUAUCCCUUUAACAGUCAAAAUAUUUACAUUGUGUUCUUUACCCCUUUUAAGUAUGUUUCCAUUCCGUUUUCCAACAGAAUUGUAUCCUACCCUAAUGCUUUUAUUGUUUAAAUUCUGUAUUCAUCACCUAUCUAUUAUGUGAACCACAAUAAAUAUGUGAAUAUGCA